CAUAUGACGACUUCAUUUUCGACACGCCUCGUACAAACACGCCUGGCUGUGAUGGUAACUUGUCGUACCAGCUACCAGGACUCAGAUGGUCAUAUUUAGUCACAAGAAUACGACCUUUACACGUGGGCGUGGCAAUGCCUGUACCCUCAUGGCAAGCUCAGCGACGAUUGCGUUUCGACGGAAAAGCUUGAGAGAACAACCGACGUUUGAAGUCACUUGCUGAUUGGAGGGCGUGGAUGUUUGGUUGUCGUCGUCAUGAGAACAGAGCAACACAACAACCUCACGACGUGGUAAUUAAAAUCAAUUGCAGCUAGACCUUCAAUACGGAUUCAUUUGACAUCAACCGACAAUAUGGCUAUUUAAUUAAUUAAAUAAAACUUUCUAGUACAUAUACUCAGUAUUACAUGUUAAAUAAUUAAUUAAGGUAAUUAACUAAUUGUAUAAUAUA